rnacentral:rRNA from 1 species
GAUGAACGCUGGCGGCGUGCCUAAUACAUGCAAGUCGAGCGAACGGACGAGAAGCUUGCUUCUCUGAUGUUAGCGGCGGACGGGUGAGUAACACGUGGAUAACCUACCUAUAAGACUGGGAUAACUUCGGGAAACCGGAGCUAAUACCGGAUAAUAUUUUGAACCGCAUGGUUCAAAAGUGAAAGACGGUCUUGCUGUCACUUAUAGAUGGAUCCGCGCUGCAUUAGCUAGUUGGUAAGGUAACGGCUUACCAAGGCAACGAUGCAUAGCCGACCUGAGAGGGUGAUCGGCCACACUGGAACUGAGACACGGUCCAGACUCCUACGGGAGGCAGCAGUAGGGAAUCUUCCGCAAUGGGCGAAAGCCUGACGGAGCAACGCCGCGUGAGUGAUGAAGGUCUUCGGAUCGUAAAACUCUGUUAUUAGGGAAGAACAUAUGUGUAAGUAACUGUGCACAUCUUGACGGUACCUAAUCAGAAAGCCACGGCUAACUACGUGCCAGCAGCCGCGGUAAUACGUAGGUGGCAAGCGUUAUCCGGAAUUAUUGGGCGUAAAGCGCGCGUAGGCGGUUUUUUAAGUCUGAUGUGAAAGCCCACGGCUCAACCGUGGAGGGUCAUUGGAAACUGGAAAACUUGAGUGCAGAAGAGGAAAGUGGAAUUCCAUGUGUAGCGGUGAAAUGCGCAGAGAUAUGGAGGAACACCAGUGGCGAAGGCGACUUUCUGGUCUGUAACUGACGCUGAUGUGCGAAAGCGUGGGGAUCAAACAGGAUUAGAUACCCUGGUAGUCCACGCCGUAAACGAUGAGUGCUAAGUGUUAGGGGGUUUCCGCCCCUUAGUGCUGCAGCUAACGCAUUAAGCACUCCGCCUGGGGAGUACGACCGCAAGGUUGAAACUCAAAGGAAUUGACGGGGACCCGCACAAGCGGUGGAGCAUGUGGUUUAAUUCGAAGCAACGCGAAGAACCUUACCAAAUCUUGACAUCCUUUGACAACUCUAGAGAUAGAGCUUUCCCCUUCGGGGGACAAAGUGACAGGUGGUGCAUGGUUGUCGUCAGCUCGUGUCGUGAGAUGUUGGGUUAAGUCCCGCAACGAGCGCAACCCUUAAGCUUAGUUGCCAUCAUUAAGUUGGGCACUCUAAGUUGACUGCCGGUGACAAACCGGAGGAAGGUGGGGAUGACGUCAAACCAUCAUGCCCCUUAUGAUUUGGGCUACACACGUGCUACAAUGGACAAUACAAAGGGCAGCGAAACCGUGAGGUCAAGCAAAUCCCAUAAAGUUGUUCUCAGUUCGGAUUGUAGUCUGCAACUCGACUACAUGAAGCUGGAAUCGCUAGUAAUCGUAGAUCAGCAUGCUACGGUGAAUACGUUCCCGGGUCU